GUACCCGUGGUGGAAUUGGAUACCAUUUCAGCCUCCGACGCUGACGGUUCGGGUUCGAGCCCCGACGGAUACACCA
rnacentral:tRNA from 1 species